rnacentral:rRNA from 1 species
GAUGAACGCUAGCGACAGGCCUAACACAUGCAAGUCGAGGGGCAUCACGGAGUAGCAAUACUUUGGUGGCGACCGGCGCACGGGUGAGUAACGCGUAUGCAAUCUACCUACAACAGGGGGAUAACCCGGAGAAAUCCGGACUAAUACCGCAUAACGCAGGGGUCCCGCAUGGGAAUAUUUGUUAAAGAUUUAUCGGUUGUAGAUGAGCAUGCGUUCCAUUAGGUAGUUGGUGAGGUAACGGCCCACCAAGCCUGCGAUGGAUAGGGGAACUGAGAGGUUUGUCCCCCACACUGGAACUGAGACACGGACCAGACUCCUACGGGAGGCAGCAGUGAGGAAUAUUGGUCAAUGGGCGAGAGCCUGAACCAGCCAAAUCGCGUGAAGGAAGACUGCCUUAUGGGUUGUAAACUUCUUUUGUACAGGAAUAAAAAGAGGGACGUGUCCUUCAUUGCAUGUACUGUACGAAUAAGCAUCGGCUAACUCCGUGCCAGCAGCCGCUGUAA